UGGGGGAUAUUGCACAAUGGGCGAAAGCCUGAUGCAGCGACGCCGCGUGGGGGAUGAAGGCCUUCGGGUUGUAAACUUCUUUUGCUCUGAACAAGGCAUGCCUUUGGGGUGUGUUGAGUGUAGGGGUUGAUUAGCGCCGGCUAACUACGUGCCAGCAGCCGCGGUAAUACGUAGGGCGCGAGCGUUGUCCGGAAUUAUUGGGCGUAAAGGGCUUGUAGGUGGCUGGUUGCGUCUGUCGUGAAAGCUCAUGGCUUAACUGUGGGUUUGCGUUGGGUACGGGCUGGCUUGAGUGCAGUAGGGGGGGGUGGAAUUCCUGGUGUAGCGGUGGAAUGCGCAGAUAUCAGGAGGAAUACCGGUGGCGAAGGCGGGUCUCUGGGCUGUUACUGACGCUGAGGAGCGAAAGCGUGGGGAGCGAACAGG
rnacentral:rRNA from 1 species